GCCAGAUGCAGUGGCAUGCACCUGUAGUCCCAGUUACUUGGGAGGCAGAGGCAGGAGAAUCGUUUGAGCACAGGAAUUCUGGGCUCUAGUAUGCUAUGCCAAUCAGUUGUCUGCACUAAAUUCAGCAUCAAUGUGGUGAUCUCCCAGGAGCAGAGGACCACCAGGUUGCCUAAGGAAAGGUGAAUUGCCAGGUUGGAAAUAAAAAAGGCCAAAACUCCUGGGCUGGACAGCAGUGAGAUCACGCCUGUGAAUAGUCUCUGCACUCCAGCCUAGGUUACAUAGCAAGACCCCAUCACAC
rfam:Gorilla gorilla gorilla genomic chromosome, chr1, whole genome shotgun sequence